rnacentral:lncRNA from 1 species
ACACAUAUAUAUAUAUAUAUAUAAAAAAAGAAAUUGUAAAUUUACAUUUGACAGAAAAUUCAACCUGCUAACAAAAAAAAUUUAACCUGCUUACAGGGUGCAAAUGAAUUGGAACAAAAAAGCUGAUUAUUAACAGUGAUGGUAUAAGAAGACCCUCAAGAUAAUAAUAUUUCUCAAAAUAAUAACAAUAACUAUACCUAUUGUUAGAAACCAUAAAAAGAUUUUUAAUUAUACAAACAAUUAUAAUAAAAUAAGCAUUGCAGAAGGACAGUAUACCAAUUUAGUAGAACAUUAACAACAAUGCUACAUCCAUUUUCAAAUACGUUAAUAGAUUGAAAUGAAAAAAAUGUUGCUGAAUAGAACAAAUAUAAUUAAUGUACUUUUUUGAUCAAUUAUAUUAGUAGAUUUGACCUCUGUCUGAUACAGAUAUAAAGCUCUUUAAACAAAAAUGCCCAAAUGAGUCACAUUCUCCAUACAAUUAGCUUUUAUUGAGACAAUCACUGGGACCCAGGGAGAUGUACAGAGCUCAGUUAAUUGCUGGAUAACGAACAUACACUAACAGCAGAAUAAAUGCCAAUGCUGCUUGUUUUCAACAUAACAUCACAAAAUAUAAUAUCCAAACAGAUAAAUAACACCAACAGAGAAAUCACAAAAAUUACGCUUUUAAGUGAACAUUUGUUUAUCCUGUAUGUUUAUGGAACCUUGUAUAUGGUGCUCACAUAGAAUACUCUAGAUUUUGUCCAUUUUUUUUCCUACAUUUACUUAAUAUAUUAAUUUCUGCUAUUUGAGAAAUUUAUUUGCUAAACAUUGGGUAGUUUUGCUUUGAAGCCUAUAAACACGAAACAUGUUAGACUCAUAUUUUACUUAGGAGCCUUCCUUUUUUUAUUUCUCUGUUGGUGUAGCAUGAAGCCUUUUUAAUUUUGGACUUUAUACUGAAAACCAACAGUGUUGGCAUUUUCCCUGUUGACAGUAUAUGUCCAUCAGCUGAUGUCUGGUGCAUUUUUUAGGCCUCUGUCUGCUCAAAAAUCUCUCAUUAUGGUGUCAUAUAGUGAAUAAACAAAAUUAGUUUGUAGUUUCAAUUUAAAAUUACACUUUGGCAUUUCAGCAUGUAACUAAAUGUGAACUUUCAAGAAAUCCCGAAUCAUUCCUUAUUUUACUUUUCUCAAAUUUUAAAAUCUAAUGACUUAGUUUAUUAAAUUAGUAUCACGCCAGUUUUUUUUUUUUUUCUGUGUAAUAAUAUUUAUAUACUGACAACAUAUGUUCACAGAAAUCAGAGACUGAUAAUACUGUGUAUUUUUUUUUAAAUGUAUUAAUUUUGAGUAUAUUGAAUUUAUCUGUUAAAUACUAUUUUCCUCAGUCAAAAUGUCAGAAUAAUACCAUCUCAUCAAUAUGCAUUUGUAAGUGAAAAGAGUAAUCCAGGCAUAGACCCCAUGCUGUGCCUUGCUGAAGAUAUCCAAAGAAGGCUAAAAUAAUAUGACGAGUUUUUCUUGAUUUCUUGUGCAUAGAGGACUUGUUGGCAUUUCAGUUCUGGCUUGUCAUUAUUAGUAGGAUAAGGCCUAUAUGCAAAUAGUAUAGGUUCUCUAAAGGCAAGUUUGAGCUUAAUUGUGUUAGAGAUUUGAGCAGGAAGAAGAUCAAGAUAAUUGAUCUUUUUUUCUAUUCUCAUAGCUUCUCUUUUGGAUUGUAAUUAUUUUUUGUAUUGGUAUAAUUUGGCUAAAUUAUUCACUCGCAUACCAUAAGCUUACCUCUUUUCCAUUUCAUUAUGGAGCUCAUAGCAUAGCCAGCUUUUUCAAGAGGAUGAACAAAAUAAUUGAAGAUAACUAAAUGCAAACACCUUAUGUAGUAUGUAAUUUUUGCUGAUGUCCUGAUUCCUUGAAUUGUAGGUUACAAUUUCAUUGUACUUGCUUUUUCAGAAACUGAAUAAAUAAUACAAGUUAAAAAAAAACAUGCAAAGCAGACCAAUGUGGGUUCCCUGAUAAUAUUUGGGAAACAAUGGAUUCUUUUACAGGUAUAAGUUCUGUUAUGCAACACAUUUUGUUGUAGUUUUGGACAACGUAUUUAUAUUCUGAUCUUUUUCUCCUUAUACUCAUAACACAAUACGGCUAGGUCUUCAUUUCUCUUUGCCUUCUUUUUUCUCUUGUAUCUUCUCCAAAUGCAGCUUAACAUGAUUGAAGAAACACCAAUCGCCAGAAUAGAAACCCCCAAAACAAAGGGAACUGAAUCUAGAGGGUUUAUUGCACAAGCAAGGAUUGAUGUUGACAUACCAAUCAAAAAAGUUAUAAUUCCUAAGCCCAGCAUGCAGCUGUGGCACGAAUUCUCCAUGCCACCAGUGGUGGUACUUACAAGAUGUGCAUCCUUGAUUGUUUUUUUGGUUGGUACAUGCUCUUGACUUUUUACAUUUGAGUUUUUCUCAUUAAGGUCAAUUGAAAUCUCCUGAUCUGGAAAGAAUGCAGCCAUUGAGAUAAAUUCUGA